UAAGACGAACCGUGCGAACGUUAUUCGGAAUCACUGGGCUUAAAGCGCGUGUAGGUGGGACGGCACGUCGGUCGUUGAAAUCCCCCGGCUCAACCGGGGAAGGGGCGCCGAUACGACCGUCCUGGAGGGACGUAGGGGGACCUGGAACUUCCGGUGGAGCGGUGAAAUGCGUUGAGAUCGGAAGGAACGCCCGUGGCGAAAGCGAGGUCCUGGACGUUUUCUGACACUGAGACGCGAAAGCCAGGGGAGCGAACGGGAUUAGAUACCCCGGUAGUCCUGGCCGUAAACGAUGGGCACUGGGUAGGGGGCUCGCCGAUGGGCUCCCUGCCGUAGGGAAACCGUGAAGUGCCCCGCCUGGGGAGUAUGGUCGCAAGGCUG
rnacentral:rRNA from 1 species